rnacentral:lncRNA from 1 species
GUCUACCUCGCUUGCUUAUCGCUCCAGACCAGUCUUAACAAUGGGCCAAGUCAGAUAAAUUUAAUAAUAUUUACGACCGCACUAAUUGAAGUCAACCAUUUACUUCAAAACAAACUUUACAAGUACAAAUUUCUGGAAAUCUAAAUAAGAAGACAGUGUUGAAUGGAACGUACCCAGACAAUAUCUAUUAUUAUCUCUUUUACUCGAUUCAUUCCUAAGAACCUGAUAGAAAACAUAAAAAAGCUGAGUCUGAAUAAACACCUCUAUAAGAUCAUGCAGAAAGCUGUACUACUCUUGACUUCCAGAUGUCUACGAAAAUAUUUGGGAGAUACUCCAGCAUAUCAAGUCACCUAGGUCUCGAUAACACGGACAGAGCUCCACCAGACCUAAUUUUUUUGAUACCGUAGAUAUUUGGUUUGAGUGAACUCUUAGUGUGAGUGGGACCGAUAUGGCUAAAUCUGGAUACAUGGGAACUAUUUCAACGGUAUCCACUGUUGUCUAUACACAGUUGUGAGACAUGGGUGUCUUCUAACAGAUGAAAACGAGCUAUUAAUAUUCGAGAGGAAAGUCCUGAGGAAAAUACUAAGUCCAAUAAAUGGAAAUGGAACCUGUCAUGGACAUAACUUGGAACUAUACAAUAAGUAUAAAGAAUUAGACGCCUGCAGAAGACAGGACAUCUAGCCAGAGGAAACUAGACGAAGAAGUAGCCAAGGUUGAGAUGGUGUAGAUUUGUAGAUGAAGAUAACAGAAAGAUCGGUGUUGUCAACUGGCAUCAAGCUACACAGAACAAGACCGAAUGUAGUCAAUUUAGGUCGUCAGACAAUGAUGAUGAUGAUAAUGACUAUGGAAAUAUGUUUGUCUUGGAUAUGUAGCACUUUCACCAAAAUAAUUAUUCUUUUGUCCAUCAAAAAUGCUGUUGAAAAUGUUUUGGCAGAUCGGAUUUGCUGAACAGAGAUGAUGUACUCGGAUAGCGGGCUAGAUAUUUUGAAAAUCUUCAUGUGUGCCUAUCUAACGAGAAAUUUUAAGACAAGUAAAUAGUUUGUAAGAUUUUUAGACAAAAACUGUGUUAGUCAGUAAUGGUUAGUAAAAAUAAAUUUAUGUACAAAAAUCAAUAAAAAAAAACAUCGUUAAGUUAUAUAAUAUGAUAGCUGGCUUGGUAUUUAAGGUCUUCAGACAUUUAAAAUGUUAAUGAUACCAGUAGAAAAUGAUUAAAACAUUGAAUGCUACGACCAACUAUCUAUCAAUUUAAUUGAUAUUAUAAAAAUACAUUAUGUAAACCGAAUCAAUAAAUUAUAAAGCCGCUUAAAUUUAAGUUUGUGAUGAAUUAUAUUGAUAUAUACUAGUCCAGUCUGGAUCUGCCUAAAAGUAGACCAUUUUGACAUCUUUAAAGUAUUCACAGAAUGAUACAGAGAAGAAUAAUAUCGAUAUGCACCUCAAAACUGUAAAUGCGUGAAAAAUUACUAAGUUUUAUAGUUAAAUUUUGCACAAGACGGAAUUAGUUAGCAACAUUAAAACUAACUUCUAAUAUUUUUGAAGACUAGUUUAUAUCUGUAACCUGACUUUUAUGUAUAUUGUAGCAUUUUUUCCCAUCCUGUAUAAGGUUUUAAUUUGCCUCUUCCAAGUCUUUGAAAGAGAGUUUUUUUAUAAACAUUCGAAUUGCAUCUCAAAAUCUUCAGAACGACAAUAAACAAAAUCCAAAUGUUUAUUUACAUAGCCAAACUUGUCUCGGGAUGUAGCACUACUUUCGAAUUCGUUCUCUCUUUAAAUCCAAUAAGUUCCUAUGUAACAGUUUUAGAAUUGCGUCUCAAAAACAAACAUACUCCAAUUGUUUGUUUUCAGUAACAAAUGCAUCUAAAAACUGAGUUCUGCGCAAUCGGGAGAGAGAAAGAAAGUCGAAGGUUAAGAUGGUCGCGAUGGCUUGGAUGGUCGCGAGAAAAAGGAAGAUUAAGAUUCUCAUUUUAGAUUGUGAGGGGAUCAGGUCAAAUUCCUACUUUGGUCCAGAACCAGUCGUGGGAUGUAGUUCAUCCCGUUAUUCCUAAUUGCAGGGAUCCUCAUAGAUUACCAAAAAAAAA